AUGGUAAUUUUUAAGGGAAAGAGGCUCAGGGCAGAGUGGCUGGAGGAACGACCAGAAAAAGCAAUUAUCCGCAUGUCAGAUAAUGGCUGGAUAAACUCCCAACUGUUUCUGGAGUGGGGCCAGCGGUUUGUCCAGCAGCUGCCUAAGGAGGAUCCAAGACCCCAUGUCCUGCUCUUAGAUGGCCACUACAGCCAUGUCUUCAAUCUGGAAUUCUUGGAGCUUAUGAAGAAAAAUAAUAUCCAUGUAGUGAGCUAUCCUCCCCACACCACCCACGCCCUCCAGCCAGCAGACAGAUCGCUGUUUCGAAGCCUGAAACACCACUGGCAGGAACUGGGACGCAAGUGGACAAGGAAGACAGGCGGGAAGAAGCUUCCAAAACAGCUCUUCUUUUCUGUGUUCAGCCCCGCUUGGAAGAAGGCCGCCACUGUUGAGAAUGCCCAAGCAGGUUUCCGACCCUCAGGGAUGUUUCCUGUCUCCAUGAAAGUCAUUCCAACUGACCUUUUCUUGCCAAGCCAAACCACUGAAAGGGUGAUUGAGGAAACAUCAGAAACCCUUCUGUUGUCAGAGGAGGACAUUUAUUUUGGUGUGGAAGAAGUGGUGGUAACCAGCCAGCCUGAUGAGGACGCGCAUACCUCCACCCUCACAAAGGGGCCAGCCCCCCAUGUCUCCACCCUCACAACUGGGCCACCCUCUCUACCCAGCACUUCAACAGCUGAGUGGGCUUCCAUUGUAAGGUUCUCAGACCUUAUUGAAGUACCUACAAGAGAGAGGGGAAAGAAGAGGAUGAUGGCGAGGCCACCCAGCUACCACCUAACAAGCCAGGAACACUUCAACUUUGUCCAGGCCAAAGCAGACAAAAAGAAACCAAAAACAACCAAAAUGCAUAAGCCUGCUGGUGUUCGCCCCCAAAAAGCUGCCGUUCCUGCCCUGCAAACAGUUCAGGGAAGUGACCCAUGUACUGGUUGCAAGGGGGUCUAUGGGGAUGCAAGCGACCCAAAGGCCAAUGAGGAAUGGGUGGCUUGCUGCCACUGCCAACGGUGGUAUCAUGAGUCCUGCGGAGAGCUCAACGGACUUAUGGAUGACGAUGACUUCAUCUGUCUUGGAUGUGUUCACUGAAGUUGUUAAAAGGUGGUAAAAGGAUGUAGGCUUAAUGAAGGUUCCAUUCAUUGAAUGUAGAGUGAAGUUUACAAUGUUAAAAUUUUUGCAUUAGUUCCAGAAAUGCAAGUAUUAAUUAAUUGAAGGUCUCCGUUGUCUCCGUUGUUGUAUUUUGCGCUUCAUAAUGCGCCACACAUUUUCAAUGCAUGUAUUCUGGUUUUAUUUACGUUUUACACAAUGUCCCAACUUCAUUGGAAUUGGGGUUGUAUUUCUCAUGUUCAUUUUAACCAUAAAAUAGUGUCCCACUUUCCCUAACAAAGUGUCCCACUCAAACUGAUUGCUUCCAGUUUGCUGAAGAGGGUGUCAGAUGGUGUUUAAAGAUGAACAGUUUGUUAAUAAAUACAUAAAUUUGGAACAUUUCACCAUAGUGGCCUUCAUUACAAUCUAUUUAAACAAAACACAUACAAUAUUAAUACAUUCUAACUGAUUUAGGUUGUUUAAAAUACAAUUUACCAAAAAGUGUCCCACUUUACCUGACUUCACCCUAUAUAUAUAUAUAUAUAUAUAUAUAUACAUACACAUAUAUAUAUAUAUAUAUGUAUAUAUAUAUAGACCUAUAUAUGUAAUGACUGUUUAAUAACAGUUUAAAUUUUCUAAUGGUUUUUAAGAAUGUUACAAUGUUAUAUUAUAAUGUUAUGGUUGUUUUACUUUGUCCUUUCAUCUCCGUUUACAAACCAACAUUACAGUCAGUUUGCAACCCGUGCCUUUGCGCCACCUGGCGGUAGUUUCGCGAAUGAUUUUAACAUGUGACUGACUUGCAGUUAACGCCAGGGCCCUGCAGCGGUGGUACACACGGCGGUAUUACCCAUUCUGGUUGUCCACCUACUGUACAAGAGUAAAAAAAUCUUGGGAGGAACUGAGGGUCAGAAUUCAUCUGGCUGUUAUUUGUUUUAAUUAUAUGUGUGUUUAAUUAUAUAUGUGUAUACAGUUGUGGUCAUACGCUUACAAUGUUUUUGGUCAAAAGUUUGGAAUAGUAAUAAUAAUUAUUUAUUUAUUUAUUUAUUUAGUGCAAAUAAAUAUCUAAUGCUCACCAAGGCUGCAUUUAAUUGAUCAACAAUACAGUAAAACAGUAAUUGUCACGGUUCAUGAAUGCACCGUCUCCUGCUGGUUUGUUGUGACGUCAUGUUAAUUGUUUCAUGUGGUGAUCAGCGGCAGGUGCAGCUCGUUACAGCAGCCUAUUUAAUGCCCGGUCUUUCAUCUCUUGUUCGUCAGAUUGUUGUGUGAGGUCCGCGUGGUGUUUGUCUGUUCGUGAUUCAGCGUUCCUGCUUCAUGCUCUGUUUCCUGUUUGGUCGUCUCUGGAUUAAUGCCAUCAGUACGGAUACCUCGCCUUCACCAACUCCAUCAACGCACUCAAGGGGGGUGUUAAUUCAUCACUAUCUCCACCAACGCACUCAAGGGAAUUGUCAGGUCUUCACCACUUCCAUCAUCGCACUCAAGGGAAUCUACUCACCUGUCUGUGCUGCCACCGAAUUCCCUGUGUCAUUCUCCAAGAGCCAUUCAUCAUCACAUAUUCUUAAUAAACAUCAUUAUUACUUGCAGUUGCCUCCUGUCCUUUAUCACGCCGUGACAGUAAUAUUGUGAAAUAAUAUUACAAUUUAACAUUUUAGAUUUAUAUUUGAAUAUAUUUUAAAAUGUUAUUUAUUUUCAUUGCUUUGAUGGCAAAGCUGAAUUUUCAGCAGCACUUACUGUAGUUCUCAUUAUCACAUGAUUCUUCAGAAAUCAUUCAAAUUAAAGGGCAUGGAUUUGGAUAGAUGACCUGGUUGUCACUCCUGUAAAUGAUGAAACUGUUUGUGAACGCAACCAAAUUAAGAAUUCAAAUACAGGACUGACAACUGUAUUUCGUUGCUGUGUAAACACAGCUUGUACUGUAUAUUGUGAAAAACACUGAACAAAUAAGAUUGAUUUGACUAGUACUGUACUGUGAGUCUGGUGAUUCACAGCAGUUCGAGCUGAAUCAGUUGAUAAGAACUGACUCAAAUAAUUGUUUGUUUGUUGCUGAAAUAUUGUCUGUGAAAAUAUAGCAUUGUAGUGUUUAUCAUUGCUACCCUACUAUCUAAUCAACAAUCUAGCUUUAGUACUGGAAAAAGCUACAUGAUUUCAAAAAUUGCAACACUAACACGUUACUAUCAUGAAAUGCAGCUAAUAGUUUUCCUAAUUCUGAGAAUUUUACAAAUAUAACAUGGUUAUACACUACAUAAUAAAUAAAUUGCUAGUCAUGAUUAUGAUUAAAUGUUAAUCAACAAGCUUGAUGUUCCUA
ensembl:lncRNA